GCGUAAUAGCUCACUGGUCUAGUGAUUUUGCGCGGAAAAUAUAACGGGGCUAAAGUAAGUACCGAAGCUGUAGACUUGCGCACAACUUAGAUUAUUUAAGUUUAGAAUAUGAGAAACUAAGUUAUGUUUAGUUAUAUUUUUACUGAUUUUUAUAGAGUAAAGAUAGAAAUAAAACUUAGUAAAAUCAGUAAAAAUAUUCUUAGGCUAAAGUUAAGUAGUUUAAGUUGUGUGCAAGUGGUAGGAGAGCGUUCUAUUUGCGUCGAAGGUAUACCGGUAAGGAGUGCUGGAGCGAAUAGAAGUGAGCAUGC
rnacentral:rRNA from 1 species